AUGUCCUCGAGCUCCCUCCCGCUCCUCGCCCUCCUGGCCCUGCUGGCCCUGCCAGGGCUCCGGGCGGCCGUGACCCUGCUGGAGUCCGGGGGGGACCUCCAGCCCCCCGGGGGGUCCCUGACUCUGCUCUGCCGCGGGUCUGGAUUCAAUUUCGGGAGUUCUGGAAUGGGCUGGAUGCGCCAGAGCCCCGGGAAGGGACUGGGAUACGUUGCAGGGAUCAGCGGCACUGGUGCAUACACCUACUACGCGCCGUCAGUGCAGGGCCGGUUCAGGAUCUCCAGGGACAACGGGCAGAGCUCGGUGACGCUGACCAUGAACAACCUCAAGGACGAGGAUUCCGGCGCCUAUUUCUGUGCCAAACAUGCUGAUGCUGGUUGGGGUGCUGGUGCUGCUCAUGUUGGUGAUUUCGAUGCAUUCAAAGCCACCAGGUCCCCACCUGUCACAAAAUGUCCCCAAACCCCUUUUCCUGACAUCUCCACCCUUGACCCCAUUUCUGUCCCCCUGGCCCAGCCUGGAACUGGUUCCGCCCCAAAUCUCCCCCCCUGA